rnacentral:misc_RNA from 1 species
UCUUGGACUCGUUCAGCAGG